AUUUAUAUAGUUUAUAAUAAAACAUUACAUUUUCACUGUAAAAAUAAAAAUUAGUCUUUUUAUAAAUA
rnacentral:tRNA from 1 species